rnacentral:lncRNA from 1 species
AACCCUAGGUAUAAAACCCUAGGUGUAACCUUGGAAAUCCUUACUGGAAAUGUGGUCAGGAACGUCGGAGAGGCACCCAAAACAUCCGCUGAGUGAGAAUCGAGCCACCGGAAAGCAGUAGAACCCUAUGUUAAACCACAGAAACCCUAGAAGCCGAUAGGUCACCGAGAAACCCCCCAAAAUCAGCAGAAAAACUCUCAGAAUGUUCGGGUGAAGAAAAUAUACUCAAAUAUCAUGACGAAAAACUCGGAAAAGCAUCCGAUCUAGGUCAGAACCAUCAUCGACCAUAAGGUCUCAGAAAAUCCCCAAAAAAAAAAAUCUCAAAAAGAGAUCAACCAAGACAACGAGAUGUAUAGAAACAUAAUCGGAUCGUCGUAUAGGCUCUGAUACCAUGUAAACAUUGAU